rnacentral:rRNA from 1 species
GAUGAACGCUGGCGGCGUGCUUAACACAUGCAAGUCGAACGGGGAACCUUUUAUUGAAGCUUCGGCAGAUUUAGAUUGUUUCUAGUGGCGGACGGGUGAGUAACGCGUGGGUAACCUGCCUUAUACAGGGGGAUAACAGUCAGAAAUGACUGCUAAUACCGCAUAAGCGCACAGAGCUGCAUGGCUCAGUGUGAAAAACUCCGGUGGUAUAAGAUGGACCCGCGUUGGAUUAGCUAGUUGGUGAGGUAACGGCCCACCAAGGCGACGAUCCAUAGCCGGCCUGAGAGGGUGAACGGCCACAUUGGGACUGAGACACGGCCCAGACUCCUACGGGAGGCAGCAGUGGGGAAUAUUGCACAAUGGGGGAAACCCUGAUGCAGCGACGCCGCGUGAAGGAAGAAGUAUCUCGGUAUGUAAACUUCUAUCAGCAGGGAAGAAAAUGACGGUACCUGACUAAGAAGCCCCGGCUAACUACGUGCCAGCAGCCGCGGUAAUACGUAGGGGGCAAGCGUUAUCCGGAUUUACUGGGUGUAAAGGGAGCGUAGACGGAUGGACAAGUCUGAUGUGAAAGGCUGGGGCUCAACCCCGGGACUGCAUUGGAAACUGCCCGUCUUGAGUGCCGGAGAGGUAAGCGGAAUUCCUAGUGUAGCGGUGAAAUGCGUAGAUAUUAGGAGGAACACCAGUGGCGAAGGCGGCUUACUGGACGGUAACUGACGUUGAGGCUCGAAAGCGUGGGGAGCAAACAAGAUUCGAUACCCUGGUAGUCCACGCGGUAAACGAC